GACGAACGCUGGCGGCGUGCUUAACACAUGCAAGUCGAACGGAAAGGCCCAGCUUGCUGGGUGCUCGAGUGGCGAACGGGUGAGUAACACGUGGGUGAUCUGCCCCUAACUUCGGGAUAAGCUUGGGAAACUGGGUCUAAUACCGGAUAGGACAAUCGUUUAGUGUCGGUUGUGGAAAGUUUUUUCGGUUAGGGAUGAGCCCGCGGCCUAUCAGCUUGUUGGUGGGGUAAUGGCCUACCAAGGCGUCGACGGGUAGCCGGCCUGAGAGGGUGGACGGCCACAUUGGGACUGAGAUACGGCCCAGACUCCUACGGGAGGCAGCAGUGGGGAAUAUUGCACAAUGGGCGCAAGCCUGAUGCAGCGACGCCGCGUGGGGGAUGACGGCCUUCGGGUUGUAAACCUCUUUCGACAGGGACGAAGCUUUGGUGACGGUACCUGUAGAAGAAGCACCGGCUAACUACGUG
rnacentral:rRNA from 1 species